rnacentral:rRNA from 1 species
AGUGAACGCUGGCGGUAGGCCUAACACAUGCAAGUCGAACGGCAGCACAGUAAGAGCUUGCUCUUACGGGUGGCGAGUGGCGGACGGGUGAGGAAUACAUCGGAAUCUACUUUUUCGUGGGGGAUAACGUAGGGAAACUUACGCUAAUACCGCAUACGACCUACGGGUGAAAGCAGGGGAUCUUCGGACCUUGCGCGAUUGAAUGAGCCGAUGUCGGAUUAGCUAGUUGGCGGGGUAAAGGCCCACCAAGGCGGCGAUCCGUAGCUGGUCUGAGAGGAUGAUCAGCCACACUGGAACUGAGGCACGGUCCAGACUCCUACGGGAGGCAGCAGUGGGGAAUAUUGGACAAUGGGCGCAAGCCUGAUCCAGCCAUACCGCGUGGGUGAGGAAGGCCUUCGGGUUGUAAAGCCCUUUUGUUGGGAAAGAAAAGCAGCAGGUUAAUACCCCGCUGUUCUGACGGUACCCAAAGAAUAAGCACCGGCUAACUUCGUG